rnacentral:rRNA from 1 species
GACGAACGCUGGCGGCGUGCUUAACACAUGCAAGUCGAACGGAAAGGCCCUGCUGUUGUGGGGUGCUCGAGUGGCGAACGGGUGAGUAACACGUGAGUAACCUGCCCUUGACUUUGGGAUAACUUCAGGAAACUGGGGCUAAUACCGGAUAGGAGCUCCUGCUGCAUGGUGGGGGUUGGAAAGUUUCGGCGGUUGGGGAUGGACUCGCGGCUUAGCAGCUUGUUGGUGGGGUAGUGGCUUACCAAGGCUUUGACGGGUAGCCGGCCUGAGAGGGUGACCGGCCACAUUGGGACUGAGAUACGGCCCAGACUCCUACGGGGGGCAGCAGUGGGGAAUAUUGCACAAUGGGCGGAAGCCUGAUGCAGCAACGCCGCGUGCGGGAUGACGGCCUUCGGGUUGUAAACCGCUUUCGCCUGUGACGAAGCGUGAGUGACGGUAAUGGGUAAAGAAGCACCGGCUAACUACGUG